GAUGAAGAACGCAGCGAAAUGCGAUACGUAAUGUGAAUUGCAGAAUUCAGUGAAUCAUCGAGUCUUUGAACGCACCUUGCGCCCUUUGGCCAUUCCGAAGGGCAUGCCUGUUUGAGUAUCAUGAACACCUCAACUCUUCAUGGUUUUCCAUGAUGAGCUUGGACUUUGGGGGUCUUGCUGGCCUGUGGGUCGGCUCCUCUCAAAUGAAUCAGCUUGCCGGUUUUUGGUGGGCAUCACAGGUGUGAUAACUAUCUACGCUUGUGGUUUUCCACCAGGGUAACCUUCAGCAGUGGAGGUUCACUGGAGCUUACAAAUGUCUCUCCUCUGUGAGGACAGCCCUUUGAAUGUUUGAUCUCAAAUCAGGUAGGACUACCCGCUGAACUUAAGCAUAUCAAUAAGCGGAGGA
rnacentral:misc_RNA from 1 species